rnacentral:lncRNA from 1 species
AUCAUACCUAGUCUUAUUUCCUCCACGUUACUCCUGGGUUGUCCUGGAUUCCCUGUUACUUAGAUUCUGUCUUAACACACCUGGUCAAGUGAUGUGUAUUUACCAUUUACCUAUUUAAGAGUAAUACACCACUUAUUCAUUACAAUUCUCGUUGCCGAAAGGAGUAGGCACAAAAAGGCGCCAGGGACGCUAGUGACACACGAAGGAGGAUGAGGGACUCCCAAAGGGAAACACGGGAAUACCGAAUCAAGGAUAAUAGACAAUGAUUCUGAUGGUCAAGACCAGUCCUAUUCAAUUGAAGAGUUGAAGCUAAUGUGUGUUUUAUCCAAAGAACUCAGCAGUUCACAUAUUUCCACUGUCGAAGACUCGUCUGUUUCGCUUCCUAUCAAUCAUGUUUGCAAAAAAACUCUUCAUAACAGGUUCAAAUUUACUAAAUCUAAGGAGAAAAAAGAGAUUUGCUAUUAUAAUUCUAAAUUUGGAAUGAAUGCAAAUACCUGUACAGGAACUAGUUGCCAUUUUAUUGUACUUGUUUCAAAAAACUAAAUUGUCCUCGGUUGCACAGGACUGAGAUUGUAAAUGAUCCAUCAAACUUCUUUUUCAUCACAGACAAUUCAAAUUUGAUUAACUUGCUGGUAGAUAGAGGAGCGCAAGUGUCUGUUAUUCCAUUUAAGAAAUGUAAAAGUCUUGUUUGCGAAAAUCUCUCCCCUAUUAUUGGAUAUGGAGGAGCCCUCGUUGAUGUUAUUGGUACAGCAACUUUAUCUCUCAAUCUAGAAAAUCUAGAAGAUCUCUAAUAGAAAUUUAUUGUGCUACAAAGUGGUUGUCCAAUUUUGGGUGCAGUUAUUUUAUAUAAUUUCAGAUUUAGAAUUGAUACUUUCAAUAAACAGUUAUUUCGAGAUGAACCAUGCUUCAUUUCAGAUCUAUCGAAGACUCAAGAAAUCAAAUCGAAAUAUAAUAAUGUCUUUGAUAAUAAAAGUUUCAUUGAAACUUAUCCAACUCAUGGAGUUGAACACCAUAUCGAGAUAAUAUCGAGACUUUACUUUAAUCACGCAAGUUGUAUGGUGAGAAGUUAAAUUUUGUACAAGACGAAAUCAACGAAUUGUUGAAGAAAGGAAUCCUACGACUGUCCUCUUCUAAUUUUUCUUCCGCUAUUCACGUCGUUCCAAACCCCAAAGGAAGCUGGCGAAUGUGCGACAACUAUCAUCAAUUAAAUAGGAUGACAGACAUUGAUGGAUAUCACCUCCUAAAUCUAAGAGAUUUGGUGGUUAGUCUAAAAAGUAUGACUAUUUUUGGUAUAAUUGAUUUGCACAGAGCGUACAACUAAUACCUAUGAAUAGCACUUCUAUAAAUAAAACUACAAACGGCUUAUUUGAAUAUUUGAGGAUGCUUUUUGGUCUUAAAAAUGCUGCUAAGACAUUUCAGAGACUCAUUGAUUCAAUUCUACGAGGAAUUCCAAAUGUAGUUAUGUACUUUGAUGAUGUCCUUGUCGCUUAGAAGUCGAUGGAUGAGCAUUGGAGAACAUUAAACCUGGUUUUAUCAACUCUUAAAAUAGCGGUAUGAUCCUUUCCCAUGAAAAAUGUGAGUUUUUCAUGAAAUCGGUAGACUUCCUUCACCAUUGUAUUUCAUCAAAAGUUUUUAGGCCUCAAGAAUGUAAGGUAAAGGCAAUCCAAAAAGUACCGACUCCAAAAUCAAAAGAUGAACUGGAUAGAUUUUUGGGCAUGGCACAAUAUUACUCUCAGUUCAUCGAAAGAUUGUCUCAAUAGACAGUUCAUUUGUACCCCCUGUUAAAGAAGAAUGUAGAGUUUAAUUGGAAUACAGAACAUGAACACGCCUAUCAUAGUAUUAAAAAUAGCUUGUCUAAAAGUACUUAACUUACAUUCAGAGAUAGUUAAUUUCCUUUAGCCCUGAUGACUGAUGCAUCUGAUACAGGAAUGGGAGCUGUUCUUGAGCAAAAGGUAAAUGGACACUGGCAACCUCUAGCUUUUUGGUCUCGGGCUCUUUCAACUACACUACAGAAAUAUUUUACAUCUUAUAGGGAAUUAUUAAGUGUUAAGGAAAGCAUCAAACAUUUUCUAAGGCUAUGGAUGGACAAGUUUUUAAAGUUUUCACGGAUCACAAACCUUUAAUAGCUGUGUUUGACAUUCGCAAUCCCUCUUGGACACAUUUCAGUACUUUUCCAUUCAUAGCAGAACUCAAUUGUGAUAUCGAACACGUUUCUGGAAAAUUAAAUCAUACUGCAGAUAUUCUUUCCAGAAGUAUAAAUUACAUCACAAUAGGCCCAACCUUCAUUGAAAAUAUAAUUAAGGAUCAAAAGAAGCAGGAUCCUAAUUUACUUAAGUUUAAAAUUUCUUGCUGGUUUUGUCAAUGUUGACUCAUUCCGUGUGGCUGUGUCAUCUCCAGAAUUGUGUCAAAGAAUCGUGCACUCUGUAGACAUUGACAAUCAUCCGGGAUUCAAAGAACCGUUAAGGAGGGUUUCACUGUUUUAUACAUGGCCUAAUUUGCCAGCAGACUUAAGAAACUUCACUAGAGAGUGUUAAGCGUGUCAGAAAACCAAACCUUUCAGAAUAUCAAAACCAAAGUCGUCUUUCCAUCCUCCAUCUGAAAGACUUUCCUUUAUUCACCUAGUCAUAAUCGGUCCAUUCCCACUAAUUCAGGGACAGCGCUAUACCUUAACAUUUAUGGAUCGUUUCACAAGGUGCCCAGAAGUUAUAUCUAUUCCGGAUAUAACCUCCAAGACAAUAGUCAAUAAUUUUUUCAGUGGUUGGAUUUCGAGGUUUGGAGUUUCAGAAACCAUGUUGUCUGACCGAGGAACACAGUUCACAAGUUAAUUAUGGAUGGGUUUUUGCAGGACACUUGGGAUUGCAAGCAAGAACACAACCUCGUACCAUCCAAAGUCCAAAGGACUCAUAGAACGUUUCCACAGAUUUUUUAAUACCGAACUUGAAGCACGAAUGCUGGAAGAAAAAGAAGACUGGAUUAAUGCAAUACCUGUAGUUUUAUGGGGAUUGAGGAACUCAGUACCAAUAGACCUGGCUUCUAAAUAUUCACCUUUUUAAUUACUCACAGGCCGCUCAGGAUCAAUGGUCUUUAAUUUCUUUAAUGUGUCCACCUUUACUUCUGGCAAAUACGACGUCGAAAGUUUCUUUAAAACAAUGGAGAAAAUAGCAAACGUUCCUCCGAGACACUUUAAUAAAGGAGCCAUUAACAAACAAUUUAAAACAAACGACUUCGUUUUUGUUAAAAAUAAAGCCAUAAAAGAGUAUCUUUCUUCAACUUUCUUGGGCCCGUUGAAGGUGAUUGAGAGGCACGAUCGUUACAAUAAAUCGAACUUUGAAUCAAGACCUGAAAAUCUAUCGAUGGAUAGACUUCAACUUGCAUUAGGAGUUUCUUGUAUCCUUCCAGCGUCUAUAACUAUAUCUGACUAUAAUAUGCACAAGAUCUACAACUGGAGAAUUAUCUAUUUGUGUAUUUAUCAAUGUUUUUAUGAUGCAGUUUAUUGUGUAUUACUAACUAGACGAUCUCUUUACUCCCUUUGUCGUCUAGGGGGAGUAGUGUAGGAGUUCGACUUGUUUAGAUGAUAUUAAUUAUUCAUCGUAGUACCUUGUCCUAGUUUUCUAGUUUUUUCCUUUUUAUUUGCAUGUAAAGGAAUUAUCAUUUUUUCUCAGUUAGAAUAAAGAUAUUUAAAUCUUAACAUAUAUAUAUAUUUACAAUGUAUAUAAAGGAGCCAGUAAAUAAGUAAGGGUGAGAACGACUAAUUAAGUAAUAAAAUAUAUAACGUCAAGGCAUAACAUUGGUGACGAGGAUGGAAUCUAUUCAACGUGACCUCCCUGCUGUGGAAUCGUCGGCGAGGUUCACCUUGCUAUAGUUGGGCAAUCCUUGUUAGUCGACAGGGAGACUACUAGUCCGUUUCUCAAAGGCGGAGCAGUAUGGUUUGUGCCUCGUCGAAGAUGGAAAAGAACCAUGGUCAUUGUCAAGAGGAGAGGUGUGUCCGUGUCAGGGACCACAUCACCCAUUGUGGGUUUGAUCCUCUGGAGUUUAUGUUCUCUAACGUGAUUACUCUAUCGUUCACCUCAUUGGAUGAAUGUUUUACACUGGAGAAGAUCGUUGUUUCUCCCAGGGACGAGCAGGGUGAUUUUGUCCCUUUGUUAGAGGGUAGAGGCUCUGUUGGGAUGGUGGAUGUUUCUCCCAGAGACAAGCAGGGUGAUCUUGUCCCUUUGUUAGAGGAUAGAGUCUCUGUGAGGGUGAUGGGUGUUUCUCCCAGGAACGGAUAGGGCUUCUGUGUUCUGAAAAACUCAUCGAGGAGUAGUUUUCUCCUUUCUCCGGUGCAGGCGCUGAGAGCACGGCACGGCUAUGGAGAUAAAUAUAACAGAUAAAAGUACUGUUCGAAAACGCGAUUUCGAAGGAUUUACCUUGCCUGCGUACAAGUAGGUCUGGUUUUAUGGUUCCCGUAUACCAAUGCUUUAUAUGGUUUGUCCACGCCUGGUUAUGGUUGAAGGGGAUGCACAUGCUUAUUUUUAUGGACAGAAUUUUGAAGUACCUGCAUAGAUUUGGUGCUUGAGAGAUGAUGUUAUGUAUGUAUGAAGGAUAAAAUCUCUUUUUUUCCCGUCUUCUAUACAUUUAAAAAUAUGGCACAUUAUUGAUUACUACACUACGAUAUUCAUUUGUAUCAAACUGAUUGCGAACGACAGAGCACUAGUCAAGAACUAAUCGAAGAAAUGCAAAGGUACACAAACUCAAAGAGGGAAAUAUGAGGUAAAUGAUUAAGUAUUACUAGUACGAAUACGCUAUCUUAAAGAUGAAAAAUGAAAAAGAUUCUAUUUAUAUAUAGCUUAUUUCUGUUGAAAUUCUAAACCUAAACGAUUUACUAUUAACUACAAUUAUUCAUAGAUACUUUUAACGAAAAUUUCCUCUAGAAUAUUAAAUAAAUAUCUAUAAAACUCUACUAUACAAGUAAUUAUGAUGGACAACUCCAACUUGCCAUCAUGGCAACUUAUGAUUAAACGAUUCAUUAAGUCAAUCGAUCUUCAUCCUUUAUCGCCUUCCUCGUGAUUGUAUUUCCAUUUAAGACCCUCUAUACAUAUUUUUUUCUUCUACAUCAUUUAAGCUCAUCUUCAUUAUUCAGAAAUCCCACACUUACCUGUACCUCAUUAAGCAGGUACAAAUUCCUCUACUCAGGAACUCAUUAAUACCUUACAACUGAAACAAACUAGAUAUGUAUGUACGUAGUUAUUUGACUAAUCUAGGUAUCUAUGAAGAUUGUACGCAUUCUAUAACAAAUGAAACCCACAAAUAAUUAAUGAGCAUCCCUUCCAUUCAUGGUUCAUAAUUGAUUAAUUAAUUAACUAAUGUUUUAUUACACGCAAUUUAUUGUGAUUUACAUACCUACCUACCUUUUAUGUCAAAGUAAUUACUUAUUGGUGCACUGAUGAUUACAAAUAUUUGAUAUGAGGCGCAGUUCUUUGAAUAAAAAAAUUUCAACCCAUAAAUCAAUUCAAUACUUCAUAUUAAUAAUUCAAUAACAGAUAAUGAAUUCAAAUCAGACAUCCAAAAGAAUAAUUUCUUCAUCUUUAAUUUGAGAAAUUGUCAAGCUGCAGCUAAUUUGAAAAAUUAAGGCAUUGUUUUUGAGAAUUUUAAGGGAUUUACCAUUAAAUAAGGGUAAAAAUGGAUCCAUAUGGGUAUAUUUCCCAGAUUUUCAAAGUCUCCGGCAAAAAAGUAGACCAAGUCUCUGUAAAUUCAAGACGGGCGAUGAGGUGCUCCCAGAUGCCGGCAGGGCCAUGACAGUAUCCCUAAGAACCCUGACACCCACUUUUCUUGCAACCAAACACACAGGUAUGACUGCAGCUGAGCUUACUGAGAACUUAAUGGACGGAGUGAACAAGGACUUCAUAUACAUCUUGCUGGGUAUGUUCCAGUCUGAUAACCAUGAUAAAAUAUUAGACUAGUGCAAACCUCUCACUGGAGGAAACUACUAUAUCAUUUCUAUUCUUGGCAAUAUUUCCCCAUUUGUGUGCUGGGCAAGAACUUCGUCGUUCAACUUAAUGAUUACUACUUAAUGAGAGCUGAAAGAGAACGUCAAAUGAAAGCAAGGCUUCCCAGCUCUAAUCAAGAAAGACAGUCAAGCUAUAAUCUAAUUCAUUAUAAGUCUGCAGGCAUGGGUUUCCAUUACAGCUUAAUAAUAUUUUAAAUCUUGGAUCCUCUGUUAUUAAUAAUUAUUUUAAACUUUAUCAUUAUAUAAAUAAUAACAUAGGUACCUAUAAAAGUA